UAGAGUUUGAUCCUGGCUCACGAUGAACGCUGGCGGCGUGCCUAACACAUGCAAGUCGAACGGUCUCUUCGGAGAUAGUGGCGGACGGGUGAGUAACGCGUGAGAAUCUACCUUUAGGUUCGGGACAACAGUUGGAAACGACUGCUAAUACCGAAUGUGUCGCAAGAUGAAAGAUUAAUUGCCUGAAGAAGAGCUCGCGUCCGAUUAGCUAGUUGGUGUGGUAAGAGCGCACCAAGGCGACGAUCGGUAGCUGGUCUGAGAGGAUGAUCAGCCACACUGGGACUGAGACACGGCCCAGACUCCUACGGGAGGCAGCAGUGGGGAAUUUUCCGCAAUGGGCGAAAGCCUGACGGAGCAACGCCGCGUGAGGGAGGAAGGCUCUUGGGUUGUAAACCUCUUUUAUCAAGGAAGAUAAUGACGGUACUUGAUGAAUCAGCAUCGGCUAACUCCGUGCCAGCAGCCGCGGUAAUACGGAGGAUGCAAGCGUUAUCCGGAAUAAUUGGGCGUAAAGCGUUCGUAGGUGGUUAUGUAAGUCUGCUGUUAAAGCGUGUAGCUCAACUACAUAUAGGCAGUGGAAACUACAUGACUAGAGUGCGUUCGGGGCAGAGGGAAUUCCUGGUGUAGCGGUGAAAUGCGUAGAUAUCAGGAAGAACACCGGUGGCGAAGGCGCUCUGCUAGGCCGCAACUGACACUGAGGGACGAAAGCUAGGGGAGCGAAUGGGAUUAGAUACCCCAGUAGUCCUAGCUGUAAACGAUGGAUACUAGGCGUUGUCUGUAUCGACCCGGACAGUGCCGUAGCUAACGCGUUAAGUAUCCCGCCUGGGGAGUACGCACGCAAGUGUGAAACUCAAAGGAAUUGACGGGGGCCCGCACAAGCGGUGGAGUAUGUGGUUUAAUUCGAUGCAACGCGAAGAACCUUACCAAGGCUUGACAUGUCCGGAAUUUCUUGGAAACGAGAAAGUGCCUUCGGGAGCCGGAACACAGGUGGUGCAUGGCUGUCGUCAGCUCGUGUCGUGAGAUGUUGGGUUAAGUCCCGCAACGAGCGCAACCCUCGUUUUUAGUUGCCAGCACUUAGGGUGGGCACUCUAGAGAGACUGCCGGUGACAAACCGGAGGAAGGUGGGGAUGACGUCAAGUCAUCAUGCCCCUUACGUCUUGGGCUACACACGUACUACAAUGCUAUGGACAAAGAGCAGCCAACCAGCGAUGGUGCGCUAAUCUCAUAAACCAUGGCUCAGUUCAGAUCGCAGGCUGCAACUCGCCUGCGUGAAGUAGGAAUCGCUAGUAAUUGCAGGUCAGCAUACUGCAGUGAAUUCGUUCCCGGGCCUUGUACACACCGCCCGUCACACCAUGGAAGUUGGUCAUGCCCGAAGUCGUUACCCUAACCGUUCGCGGAGGGGGAUGCCGAAGGUGGGACUGGUGACUGGGGUGAAGUCGUAACAAGGUAGCCGUACCGGAAGGUGUGGCUGGAUCACCUCCUUUUAAGGGAGACCUAACCACUCAUACACUAAAAGCGUUAAAGCGAUAUAAGUGAUGAGAAGGUAUAUCCCAGGUCGUGACGUAGACUAGGUAAUUAAGGCUUUCAAACAACUAUAGGUUCGGUUCGUAUGGGCUAUUAGCUCAGGUGGUUAGAGCGCACCCCUGAUAAGGGUGAGGUCCCUGGUUCGAGUCCAGGAUGGCCCACCUGAAUCAGUGAACAGUCAACAGUGAACAGUAAAAAAACUGGUAACUGGUAGCUGAUAACUGAGUGAUGGGGGUAUAGCUCAGUUGGUAGAGCGCUGCCUUUGCAAGGCAGAUGUCAGCGGUUCGAGUCCGCUUACCUCCACCAAAAUCUUCUAAAAUAAUGAAGUGGGAAAAUUUCAGCACCCAGACUAUUGAUAGUCGGAAUGCUGGAUAUAAAUCCAGUCAGAACCUUGAAAACUGCAUAUUUACGCGAAUGUAUAUUGAUUGUAGGUAAAACUCAAUCGGUAAUUAAUAACUAAUUAUAGUUAUUAGUUAGAGAUUGGGAAAAGCCAGACAUGAAAUAUGGUUGACAUAUAUUGUGGUCAAGCUACAAAGGGCUAAUGGUGGAUACCUAGGCACACAGAGGCGAAGA
rnacentral:rRNA from 1 species